rnacentral:misc_RNA from 1 species
GGGUGCGCUCUCCCGUCACAGUUCUCCACUCGAAGUCUUCCAUAGCAAAGAUGAUGUUUGGUCGCGCGCAUGCGCCGCAGAAGGAGUGGGGCAGCAUGUACUUCUACGAGAAGCUGCACCACCUCAUCGACCACACCUCCAACUUUGUUAUCUCAAAGGUGGACUGGUGGCUUCCCUCCGUCGCCGUGGGGAUCGCGCUUAGUCUUUUCGUUCUCGGCGGCCCAGAGGCCCUGCCGCAGGCGGCGUCCAUCGUGCUGCCCUCCGCCACCCCCGCCGUGACCACUCCUCCGUUCGCCACACCGGAUGGGCCGCAGGGCGGUGCGGCUCCGGAUGAUGACGAGGAGUUUUAGUAGCCCUGACCGCAGGGCCUGCUCAAUGAAGCACGAGGGAAAGAAGUGAAACUAGCACAGUACCCCCACACAUACCCUCUCCCUCCAGGCGUCCAUAUGGGGGGGGCGAUGUAUGCUUCUCUGUAUGCGUAUGGGCGUGCGUGCGUGAGUCGGUGAGCAGGACUGCACAAAAUCGCGUGCUGCCGUGCCGCUUCUUUGAGCGGGCGUGCAGUGGCGCAGAGUUCCCUCGCUGUCGCCGUUUUCAUGGCGACUCUCAUUUCUUUUUGUCGUUUCUGUGAUGAACGCCGCGCUGGUGUGGUGCCCUUUGGUAUGCCGUGCGAAAUUCGCGAAUCGCUGGAGGCUCACAGCACCUCUCGUCUCGCGCGAUUGAUCUUGUAGGCAGCGGCCUCAUUAGGCGCGUCUCACUCGCACUGCAUGAACUUCCCUGCCGGGUGUCUAUCGUUGCUCCCCUGUGCCCCUUCAGAGCGACGAGCUGCCAGCUCUUGGUGCGCCGGCACAUGCUUUUCCACGGGCGCCCUCCGCUCGACACACCGACCCCUGCCAGAGGCGUGCGGGCUCAGGGAAAGGCGGAGUGCCUCAUGCUGCUACAGACACAUAGCCACGUCCCGCCUGUCGCGGCACAUGUGGGCAAGCCGUCCAGAGACCCCCUCUCCCCACGACAGCGGCGUCGCCCUGGAGCAGGCCUGAAUACCGGAAAGCUGCGAGCGCUGCAUGCAGGCGCUGCCAACCGCAGCGGGCAUGGCGUAUCGCAUCCAGAGAAGGCAUUCAGAGGUGAGACGAGCACGACUGAUAGACGAAAAAGGCGCGAAGAGAUCCGCACGAACCAGCCCCACAGCGCAUGUGGGCGAAAUGCGCGGCAUCUCCUACGUCCGACGGGGUGAGCUGGUGCGGCGCAGGCGCCGGAAACGUGUCGAGAGCACCCCCCCCCGGGACUACACCAUGGCGUCAUCGGGGCUGCAAUGUGAUGGGCCGCCUCACGGCACUACGGGAUGCCGCGGCGUGAGGCGACUGGGAGGGUGAAACAUGGGACACGCUGGCAGAGUGCGGGGUCUUUGAGGGCCCUGACCCGCGGCUGGCGGACUUCCUCCCUGAGCUCAUCCGGCAUGCGCCCCGACCACCCCCUGUUGACCGCACGACGGACGCCACCGCCUCCGCCCUGGAGCAGGACGCUGAGUGCGGCUCGCCCGGAUCAGGGCAUGCAGUCCCGCCAGGGUGCUUAUGGAGCCAAUCGCGCAGCACGCUUGUCGAGAAGGGGCGAGGAAGGGCGAGAGGUGCGCGUUAGGCGCGCGGCCCCGAUUCGAUGACAGGACGGUGUGUCCUAGACGUCGAGGAUGUAGCCGUGCUGCCGCUGGUGCGGGUGAGCGGCGGCUGCGCAUGCGUAUGUUCUCGGACCUGCUGCGGGUGUGGAAUGGGCGCGUUGCGGGGAGAGAAAAGUUGGAGUGUUGCCGAGCUGCGUCGUUUUCCUUUGAUUCUGUUUAAUAUCUAAAGUGACACUCUUAGCUAAGCGAGGCCAAGUCCCAAUGCGUUCGUUUGGGUGCGUGCUUGUGUUUGAGGCUGGAGGCGUGGCUAGAGCAGGCGUUUUUUGGAUAGGCCUGUGUGGCGGUUGUCAGGCCACCUGCUCUUCGCGAGGCGCAAUCCCUCCUGCCCCCUCCGCCUGUUCGGACUCAUGUAACGGCUGCUCGCAGAAUCCUCCAUUCAUCUUCACCUAUCAUAUAAACAAACACAAGCGAUACUGCUUUCCCCUCCAAAGGUUGUUGGGCACUCGCGGCACGGCCACGCCGCUGUUCUCCCGCCUUUUGCACGCGUCAGGGCAGCUGUAUUGGUGCGCUGCUGUGCGCUCGCAGUCGUGGGGCUCUGCAGCUCGUUUUCUCGUUGUGCAAGCCGACGCCACACAGGCGAUUCUCUACACACCCUAACCACACCAGUCAUCGGUCCUAAUCAGCUCGCCUGCUAUCCCUCUUCGCCGCCUCUUCACGGAGCACGAGUCUUGUGGAUUGCUGCGUCUUCCACCCUCCUCAUUAUUUGCUCUGUGCGGUCUUGAUUUCGCACGUGCGCAG